rnacentral:rRNA from 1 species
UACAGAGGUCUCGAGCGUUUGUUCGGAUUCAUUGGGCGUAAAGGGCGCGUAGGCGGCGGGGUAAGUCUGGUGUGAAAUCUCGGAGUUCAACUCCGAAAUUGCACUGGAUACUGCUCUGCUAGAGGGCUGGAGAGGAGAUCGGAAUUCACGGUGUAGCAGUGAAAUGCGUAGAUAUCGUGAGGAAGACCAGUGGCGAAGGCGGAUCUCUGGACAGCUCCUGACGCUGAGGCGCGAAGGCUAGGGGAGCAAACGGG